GAUGAACGCUGGCGGCGUGCCUAAUACAUGCAAGUCGAGCGAACAGACGAGGAGCUUGCUCCUCUGACGUUAGCGGCGGACGGGUGAGUAACACGUGGAUAACCUACUUCUAAGACUGGGAUAACUUCGGGAAACCGGAGCUAAUACCGGAUAAUAUAUUGUACCGCAUGGUUCAAUAGUGAAAGACGGUUUUGCUGUCUCUUAUAGAUGGAUCCGCGCCGCAUUAGCUAGUUGGUAAGGUAACGGCUUACCAAGGCAACGAUGCGUAGCCGACCUGAGAGGGUGAUCAGCCACACUGGAACUGAGACACGGUCCAGACUCCUACGGGAGGCAGCAGUAGGGAAUCUUCCGCAAUGGGCGAAAGCUUGACGGAGCAACGCCGCGUGAGUGAUGAAGGUCUUCGGAUCGUAAAACUCUGUUAUUAGGGAAGAACAAAUGUGUAAGUAACUAUGCACGUCUUGACGGUACCUAAUCAGAAAGCCACGGCUAACUACGUG
rnacentral:rRNA from 1 species